rnacentral:rRNA from 1 species
CCUACGGGAGGCAGCAGUGAGGAAUAUUGGUCAAUGGACGCAAGUCUGAACCAGCCAUGCCGCGUGCAGGAAGACGGCUCUAUGAGUUGUAAACUGCUUUUGUACGAGGGUAAACGCAGAUACGUGUAUCUGUCUGAAAGUAUGGUACGAAUAAGGAUCGGCUAACUCCGUGCCAGCAGCCGCGGUAAUACGGAGGAUUCAAGCGUUAUCCGGAUUUAUUGGGUUUAAAGGGUGCGUAGGCGGUCGGAUAAGUUAGAGGUGAAAUCCCGAGGCUCAACUUCGGAAUUGCCUCUGAUACUGUACGGCUAGAGAGUGGAUGCGGUAGGCGGAAUGUAUGGUGUAGCGGUGAAAUGCUUAGAGAUCAUACAGAACACCGAUUGCGAAGGCAGCUUACCAAGCUACUUCUGACGUUGAGGCACGAAAGCGUGGGGAGCAAACAGGAUUAGAUACCCUGGUAGUC